AUGUUUGUAAUUUAAUGGUAAAAUAUCUGUCUUCGGAAUAGAAAAUAGGGGUUCAACUCCCUUCAGACAUU
rnacentral:tRNA from 1 species